AACGAACGCUGGCGGCAUGCCUAACACAUGCAAGUCGAACGAGACCUUCGGGUCUAGUGGUGCACGGGUGCGUAACGCGUGGGAACCUGCCCUUAGGUUCGGAAUAACUCCCCGAAAGGGGUGCUAAUACCGGAUAAUGUCUUCGGACCAAAGAUUUAUCGCCUUUGGAUGGGCCCGCGUUGGAUUAGCUAGUUGGUAGGGUAAAAGCCUACCAAGGCGACGAUCCAUAGCUGGUCUGAGAGGAUGAUCAGCCACACUGGGACUGAGACACGGCCCAGACUCCUACGGGAGGCAGCAGUGGGGAAUAUUGGACAAUGGGCGAAAGCCUGAUCCAGCAAUGCCGCGUGAGUGAUGAAGGCCUUAGGGUUGUAAAGCUCUUUUAACCGGGAUGAUAAUGACAGUACCGGGAGAAUAAGCUCCGGCUAACUCCGUG
rnacentral:rRNA from 1 species